rnacentral:rRNA from 1 species
GAUGAACGCUAGCGGCAGGCUUAACACAUGCAAGUCGAGGGGCAGCAUAUUGAAGUUUUCGGGCGGAGAUGAUGGCGACCGGCGGACGGGUGCGUAACGCGUAUACAACCUACCCUAUAUUGGUGAAUAACCCGGAGAAAUUCGGACUAAUGCGCCGUAUGCUUUCGGAGGGCAUCCUCUGUUAGUGAUAGAUUUAUUGUUAUAGGAUGGGUAUGCGUGACAUUAGCUAGUAGGUGAGGUAACGGCUCACCUAGGCGACGAUGUCUAGGGGUUCUGAGAGGAAGGUCCCCCACACUGGUACUGAGACACGGACCAGACUCCUACGGGAGGCAGCAGUGAGGAAUAUUGGUCAAUGGACGGAAGUCUGAACCAGCCAUGCCGCGUGCAGGAUGACGGCUCUAUGAGUUGUAAACUGCUUUUGUAUAGGGGUAAAAUAUAGUAUGUAUACUAUACUGCAAGUACUAUACGAAUAAGGAUCGGCUAACUCCGUGCCAGCAGCCGCGGUAAUACGGAGGAUCCGAGCGUUAUCCGGAUUCAUUGGGUUUAAAGGGUGCGUAGGCGGAUUGGUAAGUUAGUCGUUAAAUCGUGAUGCUUAACAUCACAAUGGCGAUUGAUACUGUCAGUCUGGAGAUUAUGUGCAGUGGGCGGAAUGAGUAGUGUAGCGGUGAAAUGCUUAGAUAUUACUCAGAACCCCGAUUGCGAAGGCAGCUCACUAACAUAUAUCUGACGCUGAUGCACGAAAGCGUGGGGAUCAAACAGGAUUAGAUACCCUGGUAGUCCACGCCGUAAACGAUGAUAACUCGUUGUUGGGUUUUAGGACUCAGUGACUAAGGGAAACCGAUAAGUUAUCCACCUGGGGAGUACGUUCGCAAGAAUGAAACUCAAAGGAAUUGACGGGGGCCCGCACAAGCGGAGGAACAUGUGGUUUAAUUCGAUGAUACGCGAGGAACCUUACCCGGGCUUGAAAGUUAGUGACGAACUUGGAAACAGGUUUUCCCUUCGGGGCACGAAACUAGGUGCUGCAUGGUUGUCGUCAGCUCGUGCCGUGAGGUGUCGGGUUAAGUCCCAUAACGAGCGCAACCCCUGUUUUUAGUUACCAGCACGUAAUGGUGGGGACUCUAAGAAGACUGCCGGUGUAAACCGUGAGGAAGGUGGGGAUGACGUCAAAUCAGCACGGCCCUUACGUCCGGGGCGACACACGUGUUACAAUGGAUGGUACAGAGGGUCGCGACACAGUGAUGUGAAGCCAAUCUCAAAAAGCCAUUCUCAGUUCGGAUCGUAGGCUGCAACUCGCCUACGUGAAGUUGGAUUCGCUAGUAAUCGCAUAUCAGCCACGAUGCGGUGAAUACGUUCCCGGGCCUUGUACACACCGCCCGUCAAGCCAUGGAAGUUGGGGGUGCCUGAAGUACGUGACCGCAAGGAGCGUCCUAGGGCAAAACCGAUAACUGGGGC